UACGGAGGAUCCAAGCAUUAUCCGGAAUCAUUGGGUUUAAAGGGUCCGUAGGCGGUUUACUAAGUCAGUGGUGAAAGCCCAUCGCUCAACGGUGGAACGGCCAUUGAUACUGUUAAACUUGAAUUAUUAGGAAGUAACUAGAAUAUGUAGUGUAGCGGUGAAAUGCUUAGAGAUUACAUGGAAUACCAAUUGCGAAGGCAGGUUACUACUAAUGGAUUGACGCUGAUGGACGAAAGCGUGGGUAGCGAACAGG
rnacentral:rRNA from 1 species